rnacentral:rRNA from 1 species
CAGCCGCCACGGUAAUACGGAGGAUCCAAGCGUUAUCCGGAAUCAUUGGGUUUAAAGGGUCCGUAGGCGGUCUUGUAAGUCAGUGGUGAAAGCCCAUCGCUCAACGGUGGAACGGCCAUUGAUACUGCAGGACUUGAAUUAUUGGGAAGUAACUAGAAUAUGUAGUGUAGCGGUGAAAUGCUUAGAGAUUACAUGGAAUACCAAUUGCGAAGGCAGGUUACUACCAAUUGAUUGACGCUGAUGGACGAAAGCGUGGGUAGCGAACAGGAUUAGAUACCCCCGUAGUCCCUGUCUCUUAUAA